rnacentral:rRNA from 1 species
UGCGUAGGCGGAUUAAUAAGUCAGUGGUGAAAUCUUUCGGCUCAACCGAGAAACUGCCAUUGAUACUGUUGAUGUUGAGUUCGGUUGAGGUAGGCGGAAUGUGUAAUGUAGCGGUGAAAUGCUUAGAUAUUACACAGAACACCAAUUGCGUAGGCAGCUUACUAGACCGACACUGACGCUGAGGCACGAAAGCGUGGGGAGCGAACAGGAUUAGAUACCCUGGUAGUCC